rnacentral:rRNA from 1 species
CCUCGGGGGGCAGCAGUGGGGAAUAUUGGACAAUGGGCGAAAGCCUGAUCCAGCCAUGCCGCGUGUGUGAAGAAGGCCUUCGGGUUGUAAAGCACUUUCAGUGGGGAAGAAAGCCUUGGGGCUAAUACCCUCGAGGAAGGACAUCACCCACAGAAGAAGCACCGGCUAACUCCGUGCCAGCAGCCGCGGUAAUACGGAGGGUGCGAGCGUUAAUCGGAAUUACUGGGCGUAAAGCGCGCGUAGGCGGUCUGAUAAGCCGGUUGUGAAAGCCCCGGGCUCAACCUGGGAACGGCAUCCGGAACUGUCAGGCUAGAGUGCAGGAGAGGAAGGUAGAAUUCCCGGUGUAGCGGUGAAAUGCGUAGAGAUCGGGAGGAAUACCAGUGGCGAAGGCGGCCUUCUGGACUGACACUGACGCUGAGGUGCGAAAGCGUGGGUAGCAAACAGGAUUAGAUACCCCGGUAGUC